GACGAACGCUGGCGGCGUGCCUAAUACAUGCAAGUCGAGCGGAUCUUUAGGAGCUUGCUCCUGAAGAUUAGCGGCGGACGGGUGAGUAACACGUGGGCAACCUGCCUGUAAGACUGGGAUAACACCGGGAAACCGGUGCUAAUACCGGAUAAUUCUUUUCCUCACAUGAGGGAAAGCUGAAAGUCGGUUUCGGCUGACACUUACAGAUGGGCCCGCGGCGCAUUAGCUAGUUGGUGAGGUAACGGCUCACCAAGGCGACGAUGCGUAGCCGACCUGAGAGGGUGAUCGGCCACACUGGGACUGAGACACGGCCCAGACUCCUACGGGAGGCAGCAGUAGGGAAUCUUCCGCAAUGGACGAAAGUCUGACGGAGCAACGCCGCGUGAGUGAUGAAGGCCUUCGGGUCGUAAAACUCUGUUGUUAGGGAAGAACAAGUAUCGGAGUAACUGCCGGUACCUUGACGGUACCUAACCAGAAAGCCACGGCUAACUACGUGCCAGCAGCCGCCGUAA
rnacentral:rRNA from 1 species